GCCAGGUACGGUAGUGCACACCUGUAAUCCCAGCGGCUUGGAGGCUGAGGCAGAGGAGGACUGCAAGUUCAAAGCCAGCAACUUAGUGAAGCCCUAAGCAAGUCAGUCAGACCCUGUCUCUA
rnacentral:sRNA from 1 species